UCAGCUUUAUCCUGAUUGGUGACCUUGUUUCAGAAGUCAGCUGCCCACACGACGCCUUAGAGCUUGGUCUACCCUGCUUGCGGAAGAAGCCCCACUAGUAGAGGAAGCCCUGCUGCCGGGGUAAGGAGGCAGGGCCCAUGCUGGAUCCCUUUUUGAAAAAUUAUUUUUUUUUUCAGUGCUGGGUAUUGAACCCAAGACUCACACAUUCUAACCUUUUAUUUGACAGGUGAGGUGCUCGGUUGUUCUGAGUGUAGUGGGUCUACUCUGGCCUUGGGGAGGCACAAAACAUUUGGAAAGAAGGAAGGCAGACGUCUCUGCAGUCAAGAGGCCCGGGCUCUGGAAAAUCGGUUGAAGCUGUCGGUGGCUGUUGUGAUCUAUAAAAUCUCUCCUUCAAAGACAGAGGGGGAGAGAGGCUAAGUCAGAUGAGCCACUGCUCUGAAGAAAGUUUCAAAGAGCACAGUGGCUGAAAACAGCGAGCGGCCAAGGCAAAGGCAAGAACGGUGGAAAAUGCCCGGCACCUGUCGAAGCUCUGUCCCACACCUGAGCCCAGUCUCUCUCUGCCUGUAUAAAGCCGCUGGGGUGCGACCGUGCAGAGCGCCAAGAGCCGGCCGAGUUCCUCCCCCAGCAAGGGUGAACAGUGCUCAAAGCAAGAGUACCGGAGCAAGGCUGAGGAUCUGCGGAAUGGGGAGUCUGCAGCCUUUUUGUCUACGCAUGAUUUCAUUCACAUGGAUUCCACGUGGUGCUUGGACCACACAAUUAUUUUGGAGAAUGAGGGCAAAGUGCCAUGAGAAGCCCCACUUGGAUUAAAAACUCUACAAUGAUGAGUUCUAAUGCAAUGUUAGAAGAAAAAAGAAUUUGGGUGGCAUCUACUAUCAGUAAGCC
rnacentral:lncRNA from 1 species